UUCUUAUGAGCUUAAGUUUUUGGAAUCAAUUUGUAACAACUCAGAACCUCAUCCAAAAAGGCUAGCUGGAAGAUAUUAUUUGGGUUCCUUAGUCCUGUAUAAGUACUCAAGAUCUUCUCAGCAAAUAAUCAAUGUGGGACUAAACACGCGCCCGCACAAGUCCUCACAUACUCUCUCCCGCUUAAACUCCGACGUUCUCAUCAGACUAAGGAUUCAUAUCCAUACAAAACUAAUCACAUGCACCAUGAUAGUCCCGUGGUCAAUCUCCAUUAACCCGUGCUCAAGUGUCCUCUAGUCCACAUAGACUAUGAGCCGAGUUCACUCUAAUACCAUUUGUAACAACCUAGGAUGUCAUCCAUAAAAGCUAGCUGAAAGGUAUUAUUUGGAUUCCUUAGUCCUGUACAAGUGUCCAAGAUCUUCUCGGCGAAUAACCGAUGUG
rnacentral:lncRNA from 1 species